UAUAAAUGGAAGCCAAAUAAGAGGCACCUAUCUGUUAAUUAGGUCAAUGUUAAAUAAACCCAUUUAG
rnacentral:tRNA from 1 species